AUGAUGAGAUCCUGCCUCCCCCUCGCCCUCCUGGUCGCCCUGAGCGCCGCCGGGUGCGCCGCGGCGCAGGCGGCGGACUACGACUUCUUCUACCUCGUGCUGCAGUGGCCGGGGUCGUACUGCGACACGAAGCAGAGCUGCUGCUACCCGCGGUCGGGGAAGCCGGCGGCGGACUUCGGGAUCCACGGCCUCUGGCCCAACCGCGACGACGGCUCCUACCCGCAGAACUGCAACCCCGCCAACGCCUUCGAUCCCUCCAAGGUGAGCGACCUGCUGAGCAGCCUGCGCAGGGAGUGGCCGACGCUGGCGUGCCCGACGAGCGACGGGCUCCAGUUCUGGGCGCACGAGUGGGAGAAGCACGGCACCUGCGCGCAGAACCUCUUCAACGAGCACGGCUACUUCCAGACGGCGCUCCACCUCCGCGACCAGCUCCGCGUCCUCGACGCCCUCACCUCCGCCGGCGUCUCCCCGGACGGCGGCUACUACACGCUGAGCGCCAUCAAGGGCGCCAUCCAGCAGGGGACCGGGUUCGAGCCCUUCGUGGAGUGCAACCGCGACGAGUCCGGCAACAGCCAGCUCUACCAGCUCUACUUCUGCGUCGACGCCAACGCCUCCGGCUUCGUCGAGUGCCCCGUCCAGCCCGGCGGCAGGCCCUGCGGCAACAGGGUCGAGUUCCCGACCUUCUGA
rnacentral:rRNA from 1 species